rnacentral:lncRNA from 1 species
AUCCAGUGUAAACAGUAAUACUCCUAAACUUGAUAAUAUGGUUCAUAAAUUUCGUACCGUAUUACUAUAUGGUGAUAACAAGCUGAAGGAAGCUGUUAGAGAAAGUAGGGAGCGUGUGGUAGAUAACGAUCUGGAGAUCGAUCAAGGAAACUUUGACAGUAAACAGUUGUUUGAUGCCGUCCAACAGUUUAGAACGGAUAAGUGUAAGUAUAACACCAAAUAU